AACGAACGCUGGCGGCAUGCCUAACACAUGCAAGUCGAACGAGACCUUCGGGCCUAGUGGCGCACGGGUGCGUAACGCGUGGGAAUCUACCCUUGGGUUCGGGAGAACAGUUGGAAACGACUGCUAAUACCGAAUGAUGACUUCGGUCCAAAGAUUUAUCGCCCAGGGAUGAGCCCGCGCCGGAUUACGUAGUGGGUGAGGUAAAGGCUCACCAAGGCGACGAUCCGUAGCUGGUCUGAGAGGAUGAUCAGCCACACUGGGGCUGAGACACGGCCCAGACUCAUACGGGAGGCAGCAGUGGGGAAUAUUGGACAAUGGGCGAAAGCCUGAUGCAGCAAUGCCGCGUGAGUAAUGAAGGCGGUAGGGUUGUAAAGCUCUUUUACCCGGGAUGAUAGUGACAGUACCGGGAGAAUAAGCCCCGGCUAACUCCGUGCCAGCCGCCGCAGUAAUAC
rnacentral:rRNA from 1 species